rnacentral:tRNA from 1 species
GGAGAGGUGGCCGAGUGGCUUAAGGCGCAUGCUUGGAAAGCAUGUAUAUGUUUUGCAUAUCAAGGGUUCGAAUCCCUUUCUCUCCGCCA